CGUGAGUGAUGAAGGCUUUCGGGUCGUAAAGCUCUGUCAAGUGGGAAGAACCUGCAAAGCGUUAACAUCGCUUUGCACUGACGGUACCACUGAAGGAAGCACCGGCUAACUCCGUGCCAGCAGCCGCGGUAAUACGGGGGGUGCAAGCGUUAUUCGGAAUCAUUGGGCGUAAAGGGCGCGUAGGCGGCCUGGUGAGUCAGAUGUGAAAGCCCGGGGCUCAACCCCGGAAGUGCAUUUGAUACUGCUAGGCUUGAGUAUGGGAGAGGGAAGUGGAAUUCCUGGUGUAGAGGUGAAAUUCGUAGAUAUCAGGAGGAACACCGGUGGCGAAGGCGACUUCCUGGACCAAUACUGACGCUGAGGCGCGAAGGCGUGGGGAGCAAACAGGAUUAGAUACCCUGGUAGUCCACGCAGUAAACGUUGAUCACUAGGUGUAGCGGGUAUUGACCCCUGCUGUGCCGCAGUUAACGCAUUAA
rnacentral:rRNA from 1 species